UUCAAAUAAUUAAGUCUAAAGUUCUUUCACGCACACCCCCAAAGGAAGGAGGGGGUGUGGAGCCUGAAGAACACAGACGUAGGAAGGAGGAGCUCAAGGCCAACAUACCAGUUCCUGGACCAGUAAUUACCAGUAACCAGAAUCAACAGAAAGAAAAUUGAAGUUUUCAUCUCUGGAUACUCACGGUCACCGCAGUACAGCCCCUUCCAGCCUGGAUUGCAGAUCUUUUCCCCACGUUCUCCACAAGUGAAGUGACCAAAGGCAUCAU